rnacentral:rRNA from 1 species
UCGAGAAUUUUUCUCAAUGGGCGAAAGCUUGAAGGAGCGACGCCGCGUGGGGGAUGAAGGGCUUCGGCCUGUAAACCCCUGUCAUUUGCGAACAAACCUGCUCGUUUAAUACAUGGGCAGCUGAUAGUAGCGAAAGAGGAAGGGACGGCUAACUCUGUGCCAGCAGCCGCGGUAAUACAGAGGUCCCAAGCGUUGUUCGGAUUCACUGGGCGUAAAGGGUGCGUAGGUGGCGGGAAAAGUUUGAUGUGAAAUCUCCGGGCUUAACCCGGAAACGGCAUUGAAUACUUUCUCGCUCGAGGAUCGGAGGGGAGACUGGAAUUCUCGGUGUAGCAGUGAAAUGCGUAGAUAUCGAGAGGAACACCAGUGGCGAAAGCGAGUCUCUGGACGAAACCUGACACUGAGGCACGAAAGCUAGGGGAUCAAACA